rnacentral:lncRNA from 1 species
GUAAAGAUUCUAGUUAGAAUUUUAUACUUGAUCCUAAUUUGUUCUAGGAUCUUUUAGAACAAAUGUACCUCCCACUAUUUUCUCGAAUUCCUCACACUCCCCUGGUAGGAAAUUGGAAAUCCUACAUGACUAGGGUUUCUAGUGGGUACUGCGGUCCCACCGAUUUACAUGCCACCUCACCUAACAGUUAUUGGGUCUUAGUUAAGUCAGACCCACCGUAUAACCGUAGAAAUAAAGUCGUCAUUGGAUCCUCACCUAACAGUUAUUGGUGCCCAA